rnacentral:lncRNA from 10 species
UUAUUGUAUUUUCACUAACAUCACUUGCCAUAUUAAUUUUUUUCCUUUUAUUAUAUUAGAAACGGGGGUGUCUCACUAUAUUGCCCAGGCUGGUCUCGAACGCCUGAGCUCAAGUGAUCCUCCUGCCUCGGCCUCCCAAAGUGCUGGCAUUGUAGGCAUGAGCCACCACACCUGGCUAUAAGUAGAUUGUUCUUCAGAGGUUAUUUUCAGCUGACUUUUGGUUUCCUAUCUAAUUUUGUAAUGGUGGGUAAUGAAGCCCCUCUGAACCAAGAAGUUUGUAUGCAGCUCAUUCUUGUCUUCUGUGAUUUUCUUUUCUCUCUCUCUCUGUCUUUCUUAAGUAUAAUUAGAGAGUUUAUUUGGGCCAAAUUUGAGGACUGCAACCCAGGAGACAUAUAGUCAAGUUACCCUGAAUAUAUGUUCCCCUCUUCCAUUUUCAUCUGUCCUGCCCAGCUCCUGUUAAGUACAUAAACUGCCAGUCCCAUGGCGUUAUUUAAGGGGAGGUACAUUUAAUACCUUGUCUUUUUAAAUCAACAUAGUGGCCAAUCAUAGCACAGGGCCUGGCAUAGGGUAUUAAGCCUCCUCUUGGCUGACACAUUUUUUUUCUAGAGACACAGCAAACACCAGUCAUGUGGACAGGGAGCAAGUAGACAUCAUUGGCUUUGAUGGCAGCAAUGGCCCAUCUGGAGAGGCCACUGUGAAAAUGCCAGCUGCAGUGGGGGAGGUGUGGUCAGGGCGGCAUGCUCCACAGAACAGGCGGGAGCCCCGGCCCCUACUGAGUCGGCAGGACAGAAGCCCCAUGCUCCCAGGCGCAGCUGCAGCCACUCAGCCUCAGCUCCAGACCCAGGCAUCCGUGCACUCUUGGGGGCCCAGGAAGCCCCUUACCCCUGCAGGCUUGAAAGUGUCUGCUCCUGCUGCCUGGCUUCCCACUGCUCCCAGUGCCCACUCUAUGGUAGAGCAAAGCUGUGGCCCAUCCUGGGCACUGUCAUGACCUGGCUGAGUGCCUGAUUUUGGGAUGCUGCUGACAUGCCAGCCCCCUGGAACCUUGCCCCCUCUGGACUUUGGGUGUCAACCAGCAUGGGAGGGAAGCCAAAGGGGUGCUGAGGGCAGCUCAGUGAGGGCCUGCAGGUGCCCCUCAACAUGAACAGCUUGGGUGCCGUGGAUGGCACAUUGAUGGCAGCAGGAGGCAGACAGGCUCCUGAGUGGGAAGAGGAGGGUCCCCAGUGAAGCCCCACAUUCAAGCCAGGGACAGCCUGAAGCCUAGGGGCUGGGCUGUCAGUUACAGAUGGAGUCCACAGCCUGGAGUGAGAACUUAUGGUACUUUUUCCAGGCCCACCUAUGGCUGCCCACGGUCAGCACACACUUCCUCCCUUCUAAGCCCAUAAAAACCCCAGACUCCCACAGACAUCAGGACUACCAGCUGCAGGAAGGAAGGGACGACCUACUUUGGGUCUCCUCAACUUGUCGGGACAACCUGCCUGUGGACAGGAGCUACCCACCCUGGGUCUCAUCUCCAUUGAGAGCUGGACACUCAUCAGGAUGCCCUGCCUUCAGAAAGGAGCUACCCACUCCGGAUCUCCUCUCUGCUGAGGGCUGCAUUCAUCAGAACUACCUCCCUGUGGAAACAAACUACCCACUCUGGGUCUCCUGAGAGCUGUUCUGUCACUCAUUAAAAUUCCUCUCCAUCUUUCUCACUCUCCAGUUGCCAACGUACCUCAUUCUUCCUGGACAUGGGACAAGAACUCACCACAUGGUGUGACUGAAAGAGCUGUAACACAAACAGGGCUGAAACAUGCCCCCCAACCCCCCACUCACCGUGUUGUGGGCAACAAGAAGGAGAGAAGACCUGUGGCCCUUCAGGAAGCCCAGACAUAGGGGGUCCCUGAGCCAGGGCUGUGACACCUUCUUUGGAGCUCUGUGGUUCCUGGUAUUGCCAAGCUUCCAGGCACCACCAUGCUCCCCUCGUCCAGACAUAGGUAACCACAGAGGAAGCCGCCUGCAGUACAUCUUAUCCAGAUGCAGCCUUGCACAGAGUUGGUGCCUGUGCCAGUGCCUGGAGCUGCCUGUCCCAUAGCAGCAGCCAGUUCACCUGGCUGUGCACAGUGGCUGGACCCCACACUCACUCCACUUUGCUACUGGCUCACCCUUGUCAGGUGUAAGAUCCCGGCCAGUAGCACGAGCUGAGUGCAGCCUGCCAGGCCAAGUGGGCAGAAUGAGCCAAGUGGGCCUGAGCAAAAACUCAGGCAAAGGCACCACCAGCCACAGAGGUUUCCAACUGCAAAAGCAACAACCUAAGGAUCCUGAGGCAGCUUGAGAGACAAUGGAGAGUAAGACAGCAAUAGACAGAGGCAGGGCUGUGGAGCGACGCAGGCCUCCAAAGAAGAGAGAAGUUUCCAUUCCUGAAGCCUUCUGGAAUCUGAAGUUUGCUGCCUGGACUGCCCGGUUUUAGUGGAAGAAAGCUUGCAUGGGUCUCUGUUUGUUGCUACCAAAGACUCUUGGCUAGAGCAACGUGGAUGAAGGAAGGUUGAACCAAAGACAUGACAGUGGUUCCGAGGGGCUGGGCAGCCUUUGUGGCCUCCCACCACCACCUCAAUUAAGCCAAGCGGUGGAUGAAGAGAAGCUUCUGGGCUGUCAAGUGCCUGCUUCUUAAAAUCACUUUGGAGAACCCAGGGAGUGCAGGAGGCAAAGCAGCGCCCCCUGCGUGAGUCAUCCCCAUUUGAGCAGCCUUCCCACCCCGACCUGAGACACAAGGCCACACUUAGCAUCGAGGGAGACCAAGUGAUGUACCCAGCUUCAAGCCAGGCUUUGUUACAGAGAAGAAAGGAAGGGUAGAUGUUGGCAUAGCAACCAGCAUUGUCUGCAACUCUCUCUGCUGCGUGUCUCCCCAUCAGAUGCCCCCUGGGAACAGGGUGCCUGAGUGCGACUCUUAGGCCUGUAUGAUAAAACUGGACUUCUAAUUCCCUCUUUCACGUAAAUCAGAGCCAGUCAUAUCAUUUCUGCCCACAACCCAACAGCCGUAGCGAGCCACAGGGCCCUACCUGACUGCAGAUGGCUGGACGCAUGGGGAGCAGAAGGAAGGUAAUGAACAACACCACCUCCACCAGCCUUUAACAGGAGUGACGUGGCUCUACGUGCGCUUACAGAAAAGGCCUUCAAGACCUGCCGUUAGCUGGAAAAAUAAGAAGAGCAAGCUACAAAACUCACAUAGAAUAUGAUCCCACUUGGCACACAGAGGCCGUGUGAGCACAGCCAGAUGGCGGCUGCUUACAAGCAAGAGGAGGCCUCAGAACGAACCCUACCUUGCCAGACCUUGAUCUUGAACUACCCAGCCU